AGAGUUUGAUCMUGGCUCAGAUUGAACGCUGGCGGCAUGCCUUACACAUGCAAGUCGAACGGUAACAGGGAGCUUGCUCCGCUGACGAGUGGCGAACGGGUGAGUAAUAUAUCGGAACGUACCCUGGAGUGGGGGAUAACGUAGCGAAAGUUACGCUAAUACCGCAUACGAUCUACGGAUGAAAGUGGGGGAUCGCAAGACCUCAUGCUCAUGGAGCGGCCGAUAUCUGAUUAGCUAGUUGGUAGGGUAAAAGCCUACCAAGGCAUCGAUCAGUAGCUGGUCUGAGAGGACGACCAGCCACACUGGAACUGAGACACGGUCCAGACUCCUACGGGAGGCAGCAGUGGGGAAUUUUGGACAAUGGGCGCAAGCCUGAUCCAGCAAUGCCGCGUGAGUGAAGAAGGCCUUCGGGUUGUAAAGCUCUUUUGUCAGGGAAGAAACGGUUUGGGCUAAUACCCUGGGCUAAUGACGGUACCUGAAGAAUAAGCACCGGCUAACUACGUGCCAGCAGCCGCGGUAAUA
rnacentral:rRNA from 1 species